GGCUCCUCCCAGUGAUCAAGUGAUUUGACUUUUUGCUGCUUUAACAGAUGCGAAAAAAGGAAGGCAAUCAAAACAUCUCUGCAUAUUUGGCAAUUUCAAUUACAUAUAAUGGCAUUGUGGAAAAGUGCUAUUGUGAUCAUGGUUUUAUACAUCUGGGGUUGUAAUUCCCAAGACAAAGUUGAUCAGCACAGAAGGAUUCAAUCUGCUUUUGAAGGUGAUACUGUAACGAUCGACUGUACAUAUGAGACUACUUAUGCAGGCCCGACUCUCUUCUGGUACCAGCAGAAAGUCAAUGGCAAUCCCAAGUACAUGUUAAAUAAAAUCUCUAAAUCUGGACACACUGAGGAAGAAUUCAAGGAGAGAUUUCAUGCGGAUCUCAACAAAACUGCAGUUCCUCUAACAAUCCAGGAUGUGCGUGUGUCUGACUCUGCUGUGUACUACUGUGCUCUGCAGCCCACAGUGACUAAAAACACUCAACACUCAUACAAAAACCCCAUUACAUGUCAUCAUUAUGUAAUUUAA